AUAAACAGGGCGGCGUGCUAUACAUGCAGUCGAGCGAACUGAUUAGAAGCUUGCUUCUAUGACGUUAGCGGCGGACGGGUGAGUAACACGUGGGCAACCUGCCUGUAAGACUGGGAUAACUCCGGGAAACCGGAGCUAAUACCGGAUAACAUUUUUUCUUGCAUAAGAGAAAAUUGAAAGAUGGUUUCGGCUAUCACUUACAGAUGGGCCCGCGGUGCAUUAGCUAGUUGGUGAGGUAACGGCUCACCAAGGCAACGAUGCAUAGCCGACCUGAGAGGGUGAUCGGCCACACUGGGACUGAGACACGGCCCAGACUCCUACGGGAGGCAGCAGUAGGGAAUCUUCCGCAAUGGACGAAAGUCUGACGGAGCAACGCCGCGUGAGUGAUGAAGGCUUUCGGGUCGUAAAACUCUGUUGUUAGGGAAGAACAAGUACAAGAGUAACUGCUUGUACCUUGACGGUACCUAACCAGAAAGCCACGGCUAACUACGUGCCAGCAGCCGCGGUAAU
rnacentral:rRNA from 2 species